rnacentral:rRNA from 1 species
GACGAACGCUGGCGGCGUGCUUAACACAUGCAAGUCGAACGGAGCUAAGUUUUCGGAUUUAGCUUAGUGGCGAACGGGUGAGCAACGCGUGAGGAACCUGCCUUUCAGUGGGGGACAACAGUUGGAAACGACUGCUAAUACCGCAUAAUACUAUCGGGUGGCAUCACUUGAUAGUCAAAGAUUUAUUGCUGAAAGAUGGCCUCGCGUCUGAUUAGCUAGUUGGUGAGGUAACGGCCCACCAAGGCGACGAUCAGUAGCCGACCUGAGAGGGUGACCGGCCACAUUGGGACUGAGACACGGCCCAA